AAGACUAUACUUUCAGGGAUCAUUUCUAUAGUUUGUUACUAGAGAAGUUUCUCUGAACGUGUAGAGCACCGGAAACCGCGAGGAAGAGACGUGGUGUUUUCUUCUGAACGUGAAGUUAGUAUUCGGUGGUGUUUUGUUACAGCUGCCGUUUGCUGUUGAUGAUCGUUCUUUUUCUCUGUUUUCAGAGAAAGAGAGGGAGAAAACGCGGUCUGAGUGGUU
ensembl:snoRNA